rnacentral:rRNA from 1 species
UACGUAGGGUGCGAGCGUUAAUCGGAAUUACUGGGCGUAAAGCGUGCGCAGGCGGUUUUGUAAGCCAGAUGUGAAAUCCCCGGGCUUAACCUGGGAAUGGCAUUUGGGACUGCAAGGCUGGAGUGUGGCAGAGGAGACUGGAAUUCCUGGUGUAGCGGUGAAAUGCGCAGAUAUCAGGAGGAACACCGGUGGCGAAGGCGGGUCUCUGGGCCGAUACUGACGCUGAGGAGCGAAAGCGUGGGGAGCAAACAGG